rnacentral:rRNA from 1 species
UACAGAGGUCCCAAGCGUUGUUCGGAUUCACUGGGCGUAAAGGGUGCGUAGGUGGUCGGGUAAGUCUGAUGUGAAAUCUCCGAGCUCAACUCGGAAAUGGCAUUGGAUACUAUUCGGCUCGAGGGUUGGAGGGGGGACUGGAAUUCUCGGUGUAGCAGUGAAAUGCGUAGAUAUCCGGAGGAACACCAGUGGCGAAGGCGACUUUCUGGCCUGUUCUUGACGCUGAGGCGCGAAAGCUAGGGGAGCAAACGGG